UUGAGCUGCAAGGUGAGGACUGGCAAACAGUUCAUGUAACGGUCCACCUUCUAACUCUGGUGCUAAUAUUGGCUGAGGCAAUGUUUCUACAGAGUGUUCUGAAGAUCCUUCGAGAACAGGUUCUUGAUUUGGUUCUCUUACAGGUUCUGGUGUCAUUUCACGUGUAGGAUCAGGUGUUGGUUCUCCUAGAAGUUCUGGUGUCACUUCACGUACAAGGUCUGGAUUUGGUUCUCUGAUUGGUUCAGGUGUUGGUUCUCUGACUGGUUCAGGUGUGGCUUCUCUGACUGGUUCAGGUGUGGCUUCUCUGAUUGGUUCAGGUGUGGCUUCUCUGAUUGGUUCAGGAGAGCGGAAGAG